rnacentral:miRNA from 1 species
UGCAUUUUUUGGUAAGAUGAUGUUAACAAAAGUUGUUCGUCUUGAUGAGGGCUACAACUUUGCUUAAUAUCCUUUUAACAAAUUAUGCGUAUUUAAGUAGAUAGGACUGCGCAUGCGCAGUACGUAUCUCCUUACCUGUGCACUUUUUGGUAAGAAGAUGUUAACGAAAGUUGUUUGUCUUGAUGAGUGCUACAACUUUGCUUAAUAUCCUUUUAACAAAUUAUGCG